UGUAAUUCGGUCGUGCUACUGCAUGAGCUCAAUAAACCCGAUCUCGGGUACAAUAUCUGAUCUCAGGUAUUGAUGGUUUCCCUUUUUCCUCUUUUUCCUUUCCAAGAAUAUGUCUCCUAUCUGAGACAAUAAGUCUUGUAAAGGAAAAAGAGGUUAAAAGAUUUGUAGUAUAAAAGAUUUAAAGGGGAGAUAUAUAUUAAAACUUUCAGCAACGGAUCUCUUGGUUCUCGCAUCGAUGAAGAACGCAGCGAAAUGCGAUAAGUAGUGUGAAUUGCAGAAUUCAGUGAAUCAUCGAAUCUUUGAACGCACAUUGCGCCUUCUGGAUUUUUUUCUGGGGGGCAUGCCUGUUCGAGAGUCAUUGACAACAAUUUCGAUUCCCCCCUUUUCAGGGGGUGAAUCGGUUUUGGUGGAAGAGGAGGGGUGGCGGGGAAGAAUGAGUUUGGGGUGUUUAGUACCUUGGCCCAAUCCCUUUUCUCCCUCCUCCCCAUCGAAAUUCAUAGGCAGUCUGUGUGUUUUUUUUUAAACCUUGAAUGUUUAUGGCGUUGUAAAUGGGAGGUUUAUAUUCUUUAAUGAGGUAGCCACUUUUCGCCAGUAGCAAAUUUGGGAAAAAAAAAAUACUUGGGACUAGCCUUCAAAAAUAUAGUUUAUAUCAAAGGCUUGACCUCGGAUCAGGUAGGGAUACCCCGCUGAACUUAAGCAUAUCAAUAAGCCGGAGGAA
rnacentral:misc_RNA from 1 species